GGAAAAAAUAGCCGAUUUAUGGAGAAAUUGUAUCUAUAUCACUAAUGCUAUUGACAAUAAAAUACAAUGCAGAAUGUGCGGGUACGAAAUCGGUGGGAAAAACAGUACAUACAUCGAGGCAGUUGAAGGCGCACCAACCAGAAAUAUAUGCUAGUGUAACCUGGGUAGGCUGUCCUCUUACUUUACGUGGUUUAGGUAAUUGGGGGUGUGGUAGCUUACGUAUCGCCACUUAGCUUACCAUAUUUAAGUUGCGUAUAUCUGCCUGUUUAGCGACCCUCCUUCUGCUUCCGGAUCUGUGCAUCAUCCGUUUCCUGUCUGUACAGUGGUGUUGGACCGCACACUGUCAGCUGUCCUGUGCUUACCAGGUAAUCUUUACCCUAUCUGGUGUAUAGGUAGGUAUAGUUCAUAGCGGCGUUAAACAGGAAGCACAUGUGGGUAUGUCAACACAUGUAUUAUUAACCCAAUGCUUUUAUGUUUGUUCAGAGUAUCGGUCGGCCAGUGCUGGACCCAUAGUUUGCCUCUGUCUGUGAGCUCUUGGGGGUAGUGUCUCCUGCUGUGUUUAGUCGAGGUAAUGAUUCAUGGCGUAAAUUCGUCUCUCCAGCAUUUACGAAGAACUGGAGGGAACCCUUACUUGUGGCGCAGGUGUACACUUGGGGUUUACAUACAUAAAACUGUUUACUUGGGCGAAACUCCCAACGUGGCGUACUUGAGCAUUGCCUGUGCCCCACACAUGGUUACAAUAGGCUAGCUGGACUGCUCCUUGAUUCGGACUGCCCUUCCCCGCUAUACAGCAUAAUCUAAACAGCUCACUCUCGUUCUUGCCAUUCGG